AUUCCUUGAAGCGCGCAUUUGCUGGUCGGAACUGUGCAGAUUUCACUCUUUCUGUAAAAAUCUUACAGACAAGACAGAUAACGAGAAUUAGUCAUGCAAUAGCAAGACCCUUGCAGGUCUGAUAUGCCGAGAUUAACUGAGAACGGCCAUGGUUACCUCAGUGGAAUCGUACAGUGACCAGUAUAGGAGUAAACCGAUGGAUGGAAAGAGGAUGAGAUGAAUCCGCACUGAUGGGCGGGGACAGCAGGAGAGUGCAAAUGAGGCAAGGAGAGAUAGGUAAGGGAGGGGAUGAGCAGAUAGAUACUACUGUAGUAGUAAUUAAGUACGUAGUAGAUAGGGAAGGGGGUUAGGAGGAGAAGACUUGGGGAUGCCAAGAACAGGAAGAGGAAUGCUUGAGGCGGUGGGAGCAGGAGGCUGAGGGGGUCGCCGAAGGAGAAGGCGAGGGACGCGCCCAGCACCGGAGACAUCGUGACCGGUGCGCACGCCGCCGCCUCAGGGGCAGCGACGACGAGGAUGUUGGGGAGGAGAGAGGACGGCGAGGAGGCAGUCGGAGCCGCCGGCAAGAUUCGAUUCGGAGACCAGAUCUGGUUGCCCGGAGUCGGAGAGGGAGAAGAGGAUAAUGGGAGGAGGGAAGCCGUCGAAUGCUGCGAUUCUCUUUGGGGAGCUGUUUAAUCGGACCACCGCGUCCUCUUCAUGCAGCUCCAAAUUGUUCGUCGGUGUGAUGGUUAUAUGCCAUCCAACCACGGGGAAGUCAGAAGGAUAUGGUUUUGUCAAGUUUUCUUCAGGAAAUGAAGCUGCUGCCGCAUUUCAGAAGAUGAACGGUGAGGCAGGUGCUUGAUGAAAGGAACAUUCGGGUGCACUACGCAAACAGUGGAUGAUCUUACACUUCUGCUUCAGAUGUGUAAGGGCCUAUCUCAAGAUCAUGCCAGGGGUGUGCGGCAAUAGACCUCCUGCACAUGGAUGAGAGUAUCCUCUCAUUGAGAGCAGGCCCCUUUUGGGGCUUGUUUGCGACUUGGAGAUGGUGAGCCAUCGAUCACAAGAAGCAAGCU